rnacentral:misc_RNA from 1 species
GAUGAAGAACGCAGCAAAAUGCGAUACUUGGUGUGAAUUGCAGAAUCCCGUGAACCAUCGAGUCUUUGAACGCAAGUUGCGCCCGAAGCCACUAGGCCGAGGGCACGCCUGCCUGGGCGUCACACGCCGUUGCCCCCCCAUCUACUCCUUCGGGAUUGCGGGGGGGCGGAUGAUGGCCUCCCGUGCGCCUAGCCGCGCGGUUGGCAUAAAUACCAAGUCCUCGGCGACGCACGCCACGACAAUCGGUGGUUGCGAAACCUCGGUUGCCCGUCGUGUGCGUUCGUCGCGCAUCGAGGGCUCGAAAAAAUGCUCGGCUCCGGCUGGGCUUUCAACGCGACCCCAGGUCAGGCGGGGUUACCCGCUGAAUUUAAGCAUAUCAAUAAGCGGAGGA